rnacentral:rRNA from 1 species
AGAGUUUGAUCCUGGCUCAGGACGAACGCUGGCGGCGUGCUUAACACAUGCAAGUCGAACGGAAAGGCCCUGCUUGCAGGGUACUCGAGUGGCGAACGGGUGAGUAACACGUGGGUGAUCUGCCCUGCACUUCGGGAUAAGCCUGGGAAACUGGGUCUAAUACCGGAUAGGGGCCAUUUUUAGUGUGAUGGUUGGAAAGUUUUUUCGGUGUAGGAUGAGCUCGCGGCCUAUCAGCUUGUUGGUGGGGUAAUGGCCUACCAAGGCGGCGACGGGUAGCCGGCCUGAGAGGGUGGACGGCCACAUUGGGACUGAGAUACGGCCCAGACUCCUACGGGAGGCAGCAGUGGGGAAUAUUGCACAAUGGGCGCAAGCCUGAUGCAGCGACGCCGCGUGGGGGAUGACGGCCUUCGGGUUGUAAACUCCUUUCGCUAGGGACGAAGCUUUUGUGACGGUACCUAGAUAAGAAGCACCGGCUAACUACGUGCCAGCAGCCGCGGUAAUACGUAGGGUGCGAGCGUUGUCCGGAAUUACUGGGCGUAAAGGGCUCGUAGGUGGUUUGUCGCGUCGUCUGUGAAAUUCCGGGGCUUAACUCCGGGCGUGCAGGCGAUACGGGCAUAACUUGAGUACUGUAGGGGUAACUGGAAUUCCUGGUGUAGCGGUGAAAUGCGCAGAUAUCAGGAGGAACACCGAUGGCGAAGGCAGGUUACUGGGCAGUUACUGACGCUGAGGAGCGAAAGCAUGGGUAGCGAACAGGAUUAGAUACCCUGUAGUCCAUGCCGUAAACGGUGGGCGCUAGGUGUGAGGUCUUUUCACGACUUUCGUGCCGUAGCUAACGCAUUAAGCGCCCCGCCUGGGGAGUACGGCCGCAAGGCUAAACUCAGAGGAAUUGACGG